GCAGUUUGGGGAUGGCUGGUUUAUUUCGCAGCAUGGACCAUGUAUGGGCUACCACCAGUAGUAUUCUCAUCUAAAAAUAUCAGUGUGAGUUGUUACUCCGAUGUCAUAGGUUUUUUUCUAGAAGCUCACCCAGGAUGAAAUUUAUGGCAUAAAUCUUCAAAUUAUUUGACCGAUAACCAUUGAUGCUAAUCACACACCUGCAUUAACAAACUAUUUAGCGCAGCACUGAUUUUACCAGGUAAAGGCUGCAAGUGUCCAAACAUACAAAUCUCAUGGUAAAUUGUAGACAUCCUAGGCUUGCUGGGUAGACAUGGUCAUUUGUUAGCAUGUUAGCU